GGAGGUGAGGGCGAUCUGGCUGUGACAUCUGUCACCCCAUUGGUCACCAGGGUUGAUUUGGCUGAUCUGGCUAAGCGAGUGUCCCCUUCCUCCCUCACCACUCCACGUGUGUCCCUCCUGAACUGCACGCUCAGUCCAAGAGGAUGACCAUUCCUGAUAGAGAAGGACUGGUCUUUGGUCAAAGGUAUGCUAGUAGCUGCACUCUCCUGCUAGAACCUCCAAACAGGCUCUCAAAAGCAGGAUAGGACUAUAGUGGAGUGGGCGUUUUCCUC
ensembl:misc_RNA 7SK 7SK RNA